UGCACCCACCUCGGCCGG
rnacentral:misc_RNA from 1 species